AAGUCGUAACAAGGUAACCGUAGGUGAACCUGCGGUUGGAUCAUUAACAAAUUUAGUAUGAAUCUCUUUUGAUUUGUACGAAAUAAUAAUAUGUUUUUCUAUAAGGUUAGUAAUAUAACCUAUAGUAAACAUAUUUAACAUUUAAAUGUGAACUUGUUAAUUAGAAUUUGGGAUUUCUCUUUACUGAGUAUCCCUACUUAUAUUACAAACAUCUUUUUUAUUCUUAUUAUAAUAUUUAAGAGUUUUCAAUUGACUCUUGUUUAAAAAUAGUUUUUAAAAAAAACUUUUGACAACGGAUCUCUUGGCUCUC
rnacentral:misc_RNA from 1 species